AUGCCACCUUCCGUGCACGACACGGAAGGCCUGCCGUUCAUGAAGCAUGGUUGUGUCUUCAGUGCGCACCACCAGAUGAACGACAUGCUGGGACACGCUAUCCCUGAUUUAUGCCGCUUCAGCUUGGAUGAGUCUCCAUCAUGUGGAGCCGGACUAGAAAGCUGCGACAAUGAUUCCCGUUGCCCACCACUAUGGAUUGUGCCAUCCAUGAAGAACACCUGGGACUGGAACCUGGAGGAGGAUUACCAUAUAACUGGAAUUAACCGAUGCAAGUCGAAGAAGGAUUGGCCGGUGCUGCUGGCUGGCGUCAAGUUCGAUCCCACGGAUCAGGAGCUGAUCGAGCACCUUCAGGCCAAAGUGAGUGCUGACAGCGCGAGAUCUCACCCUCUCAUCGAUUUCUUCAUACCAACCAUCGACAGCGAGCACGACAUAUGCUACACCCAUCCUGAGAAACUUCCAGGUAUCACACUGAGUGGCCUAAGCAAGCAUUUCUUCCAGCGCCAUUCCAGGGCGUUCAAAAGGGGCACGUGGACGCGUCGCAAGUUACAGUCAGAGUGCGGCAUGCAUGCGAUGUGGCACAACACCGGCAAUACCUUGCCGGUGAUGGUCAACGGCCGGCAGACGGGCAGCAAAAAGAUUCUAGUGCUGCACACCAACAAGAACUUCGACCAGCAGAGGACCAACUGGGUGAUGCACCAGUACCACCUCGGGGACCUGGAGCAAGAGAAGGAGCGGGAGUUGGUCCUCUGCAAGAUUUUCUACCGGACGUCGAGCAAGUUUCAACUGGGCUGUAGACUGCCCAGGCUUGGUUUUGUUUUUAACAGGCCCAGCCCAUGA
rnacentral:rRNA from 1 species